GGAAGGAUCAUUAUUGAAUGAACUUGGUGUGGUUGUUGCUGGCUCUCUCGGGGGCAUGUGCACACCCACCAUUCUCAUCUCUCCACCUGUGCACCUCUUGUAGACCUGGAUAGACUUUCCGAGGCAACUCGGUCGGGAAGAUUGCUGCGCUCUGUGAGCCAGCUUUCUUUGCAUGUCUAGGCCUAUGUUUUUCAUAUACCCCUAUAGAAUGUAACAGAAUGUAUCAUUGGGCCUUGUGCCUAUAAACCUUAUACAACUUUCAGCAACGGAUCUCUUGGCUCUCGCAUCGAUGAAGAACGCAGC
rnacentral:misc_RNA from 1 species